AACGAACGCUGGCGGCAUGCCUAACACAUGCAAGUCGAACGAGACCUUCGGGUCUAGUGGCGCACGUGUGCGUAACGCGUGGGAACCUUCCCUUAGGUUCGGAAUACCUCCCCGAAAGGGGUGCUAAUACCGGAUAAUCUCUUCUGACCAAAGAUUUAUCGCCUCUGGAUGGUCCCGCGUUGGAUUCGCUAGUUGGUAGGCUAAAAGCCUCCCAAGGCGAAGAUCCAUAGCUUGUCUGAGAGAAUGAUCAGCCACACUGAGACUGAGACACGGCCCAAAAUCCUACGGGAGGCAGGAAUGGGGAAGAUUGGACAGUGGGUGAAAGCAUGAUCCAGCAAUGACGAGUGAGUGAAGAAGGCCGUAGGGAGGUAGAGCUCUAUGAACCGGGAAGAUAAUGACAGUAGCGGGAGAAUAAGCAACGGCUAACUACGUG
rnacentral:rRNA from 1 species